rnacentral:misc_RNA from 1 species
AACUGAUACUACCUGCGGGAACCUGCGGAAGGAUCAUUAUUGAAUUAUGUUUCUAAAUGGGCUGUAGCUGGCUCGUCAGAGCAUGUGCACGCCUGUUUGGACUUCAUUUUCAUCCACCUGUGCACCUAUUGUAGUCUUUGGUUGGGUAUCGAGGAAGUGGUCAGCCUAUCAGCACUUGCUGGAUGUGAGGACUUGCAGUGUGAAAGCUUUGCUGUCCUUUACUUGAUCAUGGAGCUGUUU